AGAUCGAACCCUACAUUCCUUCCCAAGGAGAAGACAUCGUAACUGGAACAUUCAUCGGGAAAUUACUGACGAAAUCCAAUCAAAGUCAUUAUACAGAACAGGUUGUGCGAUACAAAAGUAUCGCUGAGCACGAUGGUUUUGAUGCUCGGGUGUUCCAAUUCACGUCUUGGCCAGAGCAAGACAAUGUGUGUAAUACUUCAGACAUGCUUAAUUUCUUGAUUGACGCCCAGGAUUCAGCUGGUGAUGGUAAAGUCCUUGUUCAAUGCAGUGACGGUUUCACGCGCAGUGGUUUCUUUGCGGUAAUAGGGUAUACUCAUGAAAGAAUUAAACGCGAUGGAGAAUUAGCUGUUCCGGAUACGGUUAGAGUAACCAAAUAUCGGUGCCAUCGAG